UUACAUUGAAUGGGGAGGAUAGGGCCGGUGCCAUGGGCCGUCUUAUUCAUUAAUAUACAGUGAGGAUUUUGUCUAAAUUACUGCUGUGAGUCGCACAGAGGACGCUUUCAAAGGGCCUCACACGCGUGAGAGCUAGACUUGGAAAGUCAUUUCUUCCAAAACAGUACAAAAAAGAGUAGGGGGGGAGGGGAGACAUUUUCAAACCUUCACGGUUUCACGUUCAGCUUUUUAGUAUUUUUCUUUAAAGUGAUAUGUUUAUUUAUUUAUUUGUUUAUUUUUAGGGUCUCCUUGUUCCCUGCUGUGGAGUUCAUCUGUUUUGUAUGCAAAAAACAGAAAGAGAAAAAAAUCCCCAAGUAUAACAAGAGAGGAACAGUUAGUGCUGAUUUUCAUUUGCAUAAAUUUUCAUAUAUUUUAGUGAAAAUAAUAGCUGAGCGGAGGAGAGCUCAGCUCAGUUGAGUCAGAGGAAAGGAAAAUCUUAGGAAGGACCGUUUCAGAGCAUGGAGGGAAGAGUGCACCAGUUCCAACUAAACAGAUAUUGAGCCCUUCGUAUUUUUUGCAUUUUCCUGGAUCUUCAGGGGGGAGCGAAGAUGUGCCCUGAUUCUUCUCCCAUCCCUGGAAUCACAUCCACCUGAGUCAGACAAACCCAGCAUGGACUCGGCCACUUCCUGCUUCUUGCUUGAGGGGAAAUGACCACAUCUGCAGGACCAUUGACUGCAGGCUGUUUUCCUUGACAGGGAGAGGGAACAGAUGAUGACCAGCCCACGUAGAAGACAGGAAAUGAAAAAUAUUUUCAAAAGCUUGGCGUGUUUGGGAUCUGCUUCUGUAAUGGAGCUCAGCCAUGAUUAAAAGGCCCAAAGAAGCAAAAAAAGAUAAAUAAAUAAUAAAAUCAAAUGUGAGGUUUGUGAUACAGAGCAGUAUUCAAUGUUGUGGCAGAGCACUUAAAGAAAGUAAGAUGUCUGGUGGGAAAUGUGUCCUGGGACCCCACUGCCUUCGCCAGGUCAUUUCCAAGGUAAUUAGGAAGCCGUCCCAGACCAGGGGACCAGCAUGUCCCUUGUGACAAGGGCUCAUCCCUCCGAAUGUCCCCUUUUGGCCAGUUUCCUCAUGCAUGGAGGUUAGAGGAUGUGAAAAAGGUCAACCAAAGACAACAACAACUACAAACUAAUUGUUCCAAAGUAAACAUUGAUUUAAUGAAAUGAACAAUAAACAGUGACAGGAAGUGAUUACAUUAUCUAAUUAUUAAAUAAUCGCCUUGGGGUGUUUAACAUAAGAUUUCAACUGUGUUUUACUUUUUUUUUUUAAUUUUGUAAAACCAUUACAGUUUAAUUGGGAUUUCAAUGCCACUCAAGGUUGUCCUGAAGAAAAUGACAUUACCCGUAUAAAACUUGCGGAUUUCUGCAAGAAGCCAAAUAGUGUUUGCAGUUUAAUUGCAGUGAGUGUGUCUUGCUCCAAAUAAACUGCUUAAGCCACAUAAGAAUGUGCGACACAUUUUUUUCACAGACUCCCCUAAAGGAGGAUAUAGCUGCUUUUGCAGGAUCUAUCACCACAGAUAUUUCCUUACAAAGGCGAUAUUUUUAAUUUCACACCAUUUUAAUAUAAAAACCAAACCAAAUAAUAAAAUUAACUCAAGAAAACAAUCUUCCAAGAAAGAAUGCAGGUUUUCGAGGUUUUUUUGAACAAUCAGAGCAGGAGAUGCUUGUGGUGGUGAAACGUGCUUGAGAAACCUUUCUGGAGCUCAGGAGAUCGGUCAGGCAGCAGUGAUCAAAACUGAAGAAUGGGCUGUCUUGGCCUUUCUGAAUAGCGGGUUUACUGUAGCUGGUCUCUCUGGCUCUAUAACUGAGAGGUGCUCCAGGAAAUGUAUUAGCAAGGUAACAGGAAUGUGCUCCUGUGAACUCACCUGGUCAUAAACCUGCAAAAUGACCUAGCUAUGCCCUUGUGAGGUCACCUGGCGAUGGAGAAGCAAGAUCACUUAGAUGUGCUCCUAUGAGUUCACCUAGCCAGAAACCUGCAAAAUCACCUAUAUAUGUUCCUGUGAGCUCACCUGGCCAUCGAUCAACGACAUUACCUACAUUUGCCCCAGUGAGCUCAUCUCGUCGUAGACCUGCAAAAUUACCUAGAUGUGCGUCUGUGAGCUUACCUGGCCAUAGAUGUGCGGAAUCACCUAGAUGUGGUCCUGUGAGCUCACCUGGCCAUAUACCUACAAAAUCACCUAGAUGUGUUCCUGUGAGCUCAUCUGGUCAUAGACAUGCAAAUUCACCUAGAUGUGUUCCUGUGAGCUCAUCUGGUCAUAGACCUGCGAAAUCACCUAGAUGUGUUCCUCUAAGCUCAACUGGCAAUAGAAAAGUCAGCUAGAUGUGUUCCUGCGAGCUCACCUGGUUGCACACCGCUAAAUUCACUGAGAUGUAGUCCUGUAAGCCAGGGUUGGGAAAGCGACAGCAGCAGUGAGAGACACUCUGUGUGACUGCCUAACAAUCCUGGUGCACAAUGGGAAGGAGCUCUCUCUGCGAGUCUGUCCUGUGCUCCUACCUUCCGCUGCUCAGUCCACUGAGACUAGCUAAAAGGGUUUACGGAGGAUAAAACUCAUUUUCUUUCAUUUUGAUUCUAUUCUUAAAGUGUUUUACCAUUUGGCUGUAAAUUGUGCUAUCAGGUCUAAAUAGCACCAGGAAAGAAAGGACUCAAUUAUGCUCCUGGAAGUUAGAUGAUGAUUCACAUCUCAGUCUUACAGAAACAGACAAUGAGACACAGACGGAGAGAGCGAGAGAGAGAGAGUGUGUGAAAGAGGCAAGACCCAGUCUCGUUUUGCAACCGCUGUAACUAUUAAUCAUUAUUAAUCCUCAUAUCAUCAUCCAUACCAUGACCGCUCUGCCUCUGUAUUGUUAUUGUCAUGUUCAAUUUGUCGUAAACAGUGAUUCAAUUCGCCGGCAGCUUUCGCAUCACUCUCCGGCUUGGCCAAUGAUAUACCUUGGAAUGCAAACUGGCUAAACUGAAAGUGACAGAGGCUCACACUAAUUAGACCAUUAAAGGUGAUAUCUUGCUUUCACAAAGGUAGCAGUAAACUUAAUUUCACGGUACCAUUCGUCCUGUAGAAUAGCAUGUAUGCAUAAUGCGUUUUUGCAUACAUGUGUAGCCAGAUUACCAUUCAGAUGCUAAAAAUGAAGGCUGAUGUCUCUGUGGCCGUAAUUCAAUUGAGCAGCUACUUGGUUCCAGACUUUAGCUCCUGACGGAUCUGACCGUUCUGUGUCUCAGGGCUGUCACAGCACGGGAGGUCAUCCGGGCGAAUGGCUCCCCAAACAAGUACCGAGGCGGUAUGUGGGGCCCGUCGGCGGCACCGCCACGCACGGUAACGGUUUAUGGGAUAUUUCUGCCUGUUAGUCACCCCGCCGCGGGGCGAUAGACACGGAGACGGAAGCAGAGCUGUCAGUCAGGGGUGUCAGACGCCGGCAGGGAGAGGGGCAGCCCAGGAAUGUGGGGCUUGCCAGCGGCCCUCUUCCGUUAACGUCUUUUUUAGCACCGGGAACUCCGGAGAGGCCAGCUGUGCCACCCGCGCUCUCCAAACCUCUUCUGUUCCUCUGUGAAAACCGGUGAAACUAAGGUGACGCAUCAGCACUAAUGGCCAUGGGCUUCGCAAGCCUCCGAACACCAAAAUCGGGAAUUUGAUGUUGUGCCACGUGCCUUUUGGCAUUCAGGGUGCCCCAGACCCGUUUACACUCCCCACCCCCUCCAGGCCAGUUCCAGGCGCCAGCUGGGUCAGCAGGGUCCAGACCCCGAGCUCCUUCCCACAAACGGGCCAUUCAGCACCAGCGAUUUCCCGGUGAGGCCACAGACAAACACAGGAGCCCCUCCUUGUGUCACCAGACACGGCCCAUGAAUCCUCUUUUAUCUGUAGAGUUUGUACA